rnacentral:rRNA from 1 species
GGGGAAUUUUGGACAAUGGGCGCAAGCCUGAUCCAGCCAUGCCGCGUGCAGGAUGAAGGCCUUCGGGUUGUAAACUGCUUUUGUACGGAACGAAAAGGUGCCUUCUAAUAAAGGGCGCUCAUGACGGUACCGUAAGAAUAAGCACCGGCUAACUACGUGCCAGCAGCCGCGGUAAUACGUAGGGUGCGAGCGUUAAUCGGAAUUACUGGGCGUAAAGCGUGCGCAGGCGGUUUUGUAAGACAGAGGUGAAAUCCCCGGGCGCAACCUGGGAACUGCCUUUGUGACUGCAAAGCUGGAGUGCGGCAGAGNGGGAUGGAAUUCCGCGUUUAGCAGUGAAAUGCGUAGAUAUGCGGAGGAACACCGAUGGCGGAGGCAAUCCCCUGGGCCUGCACUGACGCUCAUGCACGAAAGCGUGGGGAGCAAACA